rnacentral:rRNA from 1 species
AUUGAACGCUGGCGGCAGGUCUAACACAUGCAAGUCGAGCGGAUGAAGGGAGCUUGCUCCUGGAUUCAGCGGCGGACGGGUGAGUAAUGCCUAGGAAUCUGCCUGGUAGUGGGGGAUAACGUCCGGAAACGGGCGCUAAUACCGCAUACGUCCUGAGGGAGAAAGUGGGGGAUCUUCGGACCUCACGCUAUCAGAUGAGCCUAGGUCGGAUUAGCUAGUUGGUGGGGUAAAGGCCUACCAAGGCGACGAUCCGUAACUGGUCUGAGAGGAUGAUCAGUCACGCUGGAACUGAGACACGGUCCAGACUCCUACGGGAGGCAGCAGUGGGGAAUAUUGGACAAUGGGCGAAAGCCUGAUCCAGCCAUGCCGCGUGUGUGAAGAAGGUCUUCGGAUUGUAAAGCACUUUAAGUUGGGAGGAAGGGCAGUAAGUUAAUACCUUGCUGUUUUGACGUUACCAACAGAAUAAGCACCGGCUAACUUCGUG